GAAGGUGUGUCGUGAGGCAUGCUGGAGGUAUCAGAAGUGCGAAUGCUGACAUAAGUAACGAUAAAGCGGGUGAAAAGCCCGCUCGCCGGAAGACCAAGGGUUCCUGUCCAACGUUAAUCGGGGCAGGGUGAGUCGACCCCUAAGGCGAGGCCGAAAGGCGUAGUCGAUGGGAAACGGGUUAAUAUUCCCGUACUUGGUGUUACUGCGAAGGGGGGACGGAGAAGGCUAUGUUGGCCGGGCGACGGUUGUCCCGGUUUAAGUGUGUAGGUGUGUGUUCCAGGUAAAUCCGGUUCACUUUAACACUGAGGCGUGACGACGAGGCACUACGGUGCUGAAGCAACAAAUGCCCUGCUUCCAGGAAAAGCCUCUAAGCAUCAGGUAACAUCAAAUCGUACCCCAAACCGACACAGGUGGUCAGGUAGAGAAUACCAAGGCGCUUGAGAGAACUCGGGUGAAGGAACUAGGCAAAAUGGUGCCGUAACUUCGGGAGAAGGCACGCUGACACGUAGGUGAAGUGAUUUACUCAUGGAGCUGAAGUCAGUCGAAGAUACCAGCUGGCUGCAACUGUUUAUUAAAAACACAGCACUGUGCAAACACGAAAGUGGACGUAUACGGUGUGACGCCUGCCCGGUGCCGGAAGGUUAAUUGAUGGGGUCAGCGCAAGCGAAGCUCCUGAUCGAAGCCCCGGUAAACGGCGGCCGUAACUAUAACGGUCCUAAGGUAGCGAAAUUCCUUGUCGGGUAAGUUCCGACCUGCACGAAUGGCGUAAUGAUGGCCAGGCUGUCUCCACCCGAGACUCAGUGAAAUUGAACUCGCUGUGAAGAUGCAGUGUACCCGCGGCAAGACGGAAAGACCCCGUGAACCUUUACUAUAGCUUGACACUGAACAUUGAGCCUUGAUGUGUAGGAUAGGUGGGAGGCUUUGAAGUGUGGACGCCAGUCUGCAUGGAGCCGACCUUGAAAUACCACCCUUUAAUGUUUGAUGUUCUAACGUGGACCCGUUACCCGGGUUGCGGACAGUGUCUGGUGGGUAGUUUGACUGGGGCGGUCUCCUCCUAAAGAGUAACGGAGGAGCACGAAGGUUGGCUAAUCCUGG
rnacentral:rRNA from 1 species